rnacentral:rRNA from 1 species
UUAAAUUGAAGAGUUUGAUCAUGGCUCAGAUUGAACGCUGGCGGCAGGCCUAACACAUGCAAGUCGAGCGGUAACACAGAGAGCUUGCU